UACGUAGGGUCCGAGCGUUGUCCGGAAUUAUUGGGCGUAAAGGGCUCGUAGGCGGUUUGUCGCGUCGGGAGUGAAAUCUUACAGCUUAACUGUGAACUUGCUUUCGAUACGGGCAGACUUGAGGCAUUCAGGGGAGAACGGAAUUCCUGGUGUAGCGGUGAAAUGCGCAGAUAUCAGGAAGAACACCAAUGGCGAAAGCAGCUUUCUGGGACGGUACUGACGCUGAGACGCGAAAGCGUGGGGAGCGAACAGG
rnacentral:rRNA from 1 species